UGACAUCAAAUUAAUUAAAUUGACGUGAAUCGACGUCAAUAUCAUAAAACAUCGAUUAAAUGACAGAUGUCAUUUGACGUGGAAUCUUUUACUUCAUUUAUUGGAAUAAUUUACUGUAUUUAUUAAUCCGAUUAUAGUUUGCAAUACAAUCAUUUAUAACGUUAUAUAUAAAAUUACUUUCCAAAAUUGACUUUCGUCUGUUUACCACGACAGUACGGUUAUAUAAAGUCUCUAUCGUUACAAACAGUAGUUCAUCGAACUGUACAUAAAAGUUUAAAUGGGACCCAUACACGAUAACCAAAUCCACCACUUUUUAACAACAAAAGAAUUCUCAUCUAUUUACUUCAAUAGUACACGAUUUUACGUUACUGAUUAAGCCAAUCCAUUGCUUCCAACGUGGAACGCAGUACGCAUGUCAUUCGACGAAUGUUUCGCUUUCGACGUUGGUCGUGGAAAGUCGGUUUAUUUGACCCGCCUCAAAGGACGACCCAAUAUUGGAACCAACACUUUUAGCUACGUGUUUUGUAUGAAAAAACCCAAGUUUCAAGUAUCGUCCAGUUUAUUUUAUAAAUUUUAUAUCUGUUGUAUGGUAUUUAUCAUUUUUUUGGCAUGUUUUUAUUUCUCUAGGUAACGAAAAAGUUUGACGCAUCGUGUAGUACCCGCUUUAUAGUUAACCAAAACAAGCGAUUCCUUUAUAUUAGUGACAUUUUUUAUCUAUUGAAAUUAAUGCGUCAAAGAUUUUAUCAUUUUUUUAUUUUCUGCCGGAACAUACGAAAUAAAAAUACGAUAAAGAGAAUCAUCGAAAGCGAACAGAUAAAAAAUGAUUAAAAAAAUUGUUGUGUAGGUUGUAUUCAAUGAUUUAGAGACAAUGAUAAGGUUCAAGGGAAAAACUGAAUACGUGGUACAUCGAAAUAAACAUUUUCCAAAACGA